rnacentral:rRNA from 1 species
AGAGUUUGAUCCUGGCUCAGGACGAACGCUGGCGCGCGCCUAACACAUGCAAGUCGAACGAGAAAGUCCGCAAGGAUGAGUAAAGUGGCGUACGGGUGAGUAACACGUGGAUAAUCUACCCUCUAGUGGGGAAUACCGCUGGGAAACCGGCGACAAUACCGCAUAAUCUCGAGAGAGGAAAGCAGCAAUGCGCUGGAGGA